rnacentral:rRNA from 1 species
AUGGCCAUGGCCACGCAAGCCUCGGCGGCGACGCGCCACCUGAUCACCGCGGCCUGGUCGCCAUCCGCCAAGCCCCGCCCCGCCACCCUCGGCAUGCCCUCCGCCCGUGGCCCGGCCCCGCUCUGCGCCGCGGCCCCGGACACCCCCGCCCCCGCCGCGCCGCCGGCGGAGCCCGCCCCCGCGGGCUUCGUGCCGCCGCAGCUGGACCCGUCCACCCCGUCCCCGAUCUUCGGCGGCAGCACGGGCGGCCUCCUCCGCAAGGCCCAGGUCGAGGAGUUCUACGUCAUCACCUGGACCUCCCCCAAGGAGCAGGUGUUCGAGAUGCCCACCGGCGGCGCCGCCAUCAUGCGCGAGGGCCCCAACCUCCUCAAGCUCGCCCGCAAGGAGCAGUGCCUCGCCCUCGGCAACCGCCUCCGCUCCAAGUACAAGAUCGCCUACCAGUUCUACCGCGUCUUCCCCAACGGCGAGGUGCAGUACCUCCACCCCAAGGACGGCGUCUACCCGGAGAAGGUCAACGCCGGCAGGCAGGGCGUGGGGCAGAACUUCCGCAGCAUCGGCAAGAACGUCAGCCCCAUCGAGGUCAAGUUCACCGGCAAGAACUCCUUCGACAUCUAA